AUUGAACGCUGGCGGCAUGCCUUACACAUGCAAGUCGAACGGCAGCACGGACUUCGGUCUGGUGGCGAGUGGCGAACGGGUGAGUAAUAUAUCGGAACAUACCCUAGAGUGGGGAUAACGUAGCGAAAGUUACGCUAAUACCGCAUACGCACUAAGGUGGAAAGUGGGGGAUCGCAAGACCUCAUGCUCAUGGAGUGGCCGAUAUCUGAUUAGCUAGUUGGUGAGGUAAAGGCUCACCAAGGCGACGAUCAGUAGCUGGUUUGAGAGAACGACCAGCCACACUGGAACUGAGACACGGUCCAGACUCCUACGGGAGGCAGCAGUGGGGAAUUUUGGACAAUGGGCGCAAGCCUGAUCCAGCAAUGCCGCGUGAGUGAAGAAGGCCUCGGUU
rnacentral:rRNA from 1 species